ACGCUGGCGGCAGGCCUAACACAUGCAAGUCGAGCGGCAGCGGGAAGUAGCUUGCUACUUUGCCGGCGAGCGGCGGACGGGUGAGUAAUGUCUGGGGAUCUGCCUGAUGGCGGGGGAUAACUACUGGAAACGGUAGCUAAUACCGCAUAACGUCGCAAGACCAAAGUGGGGGACCUUCGGGCCUCACGCCAUCGGAUGAACCCAGAUGGGAUUAGCUAGUAGGUGAGGUAAUGGCUCACCUAGGCGACGAUCCCUAGCUGGUCUGAGAGGAUGACCAGCCACACUGGAACUGAGACACGGUCCAGACUCCUACGGGAGGCAGCAGUGGGGAAUAUUGCACAAUGGGGGAAACCCUGAUGCAGCCAUGCCGCGUGUGUGAAGAAGGCCUUCGGGUUGUAAAGCACUUUCAGCGAGGAGGAAGGGGUAGGGGUUAAUAGCGCCUAUCAUUGACGUUACUCGCAGAAGAAGCACCGGCUAACUCCGUGCCAGCAGCCGCGGUAAUACGGAGGGUGCGAGCGUUAAUCGGAAUUACUGGGCGUAAAGCGUACGCAGGCGGUCUGUUAAGUCAGAUGUGAAAUCCCCGGGCUUAACCCGGGAACUGCAUUUGAAACUGGCAGGCUAGAGUCUCGUAGAGGGGGGUAGAAUUCCAGGUGUAGCGGUGAAAUGCGUAGAGAUCUGGAGGAAUACCGGUGGCGAAGGCGGCCCCCUGGACGAAGACUGACGCUCAGGUACGAAAGCGUGGGGAGCAAAC
rnacentral:rRNA from 1 species